rnacentral:misc_RNA from 1 species
GAGUUCAUGCCCGAAAGGGUAGACCUCCCACCCUUGUGUAUUAUUACUUUGUUGCUUUGGCGAGCUGCCUUCGGGCCUUGUAUGCUCGCCAGAGGACCCAAAACCCUGAAAUUAAUGUCGUCUGAGUAAAAAGUUUAAUAUUUAAAACUUUCAACAACGGAUCUCUUGGCUCU